rnacentral:ncRNA from 1 species
UCGUCCCGCCUCGUGAUCGUCUUCUCACCUUCGCUUGGCGGGCGGAAGAACGGCGAGGCCCCACGAGGACGUGACUCGUGGGGCCUCGCC